AUUGAACGCUGGCGGCAGGCCUAACACAUGCAAGUCGAGCGGAUGAAGGGAGCUUGCUCCUGGAUUCAGCGGCGGACGGGUGAGUAAUGCCUAGGAAUCUGCCUGGUAGUGGGGGAUAACGUCCGGAAACGGGCGCUAAUACCGCAUACGUCCUGAGGGAGAAAGUGGGGGAUCUUCGGACCUCACGCUAUCAGAUGAGCCUAGGUCGGAUUAGCUAGUUGGUGGGGUAAAGGCCUACCAAGGCGACGAUCCGUAACUGGUCUGAGAGGAUGAUCAGUCAAACUGGAACUGAGACACGGUCCAGACUCCUACGGGAGGCAGCAGUGGGGAAUAUUGGACAAUGGGCGAAAGCCUGAUCCAGCCAUGCCGCGUGUGUGCAGAAGGUCUUCGGAUUGUAAAGCACUUUAAGUUGGGAGGAAGGGCAGUAAGUUAAUACCUUGCUGUUUUGACGUUACCAACAGAAUAAGCACCGGCUAACUUCGUG
rnacentral:rRNA from 1 species